AGCUACAUUAAUGUAUUUAUAUUGUAAAUAGCAAUCAUAUUGAUUUGGAAGGACUUCUUUGAGGUGACUUUGCUGGACGUUUUGAAGGACUCUUGGUCAGACUUUUUGAAGGGCUUUUGGCU